AUGGCGGUCCUGAAGAAGAACACGAGCUCCCUGAGCUUCGUCGUGGCCGCCCUCAUGGUGGUCAUGGCUGCCACCCUUCUCCUCUCCUCGUGCGACGCCCGCAAAGUGAAGGAUAAGCCCAUCGCUUUCCCCGUGCCGGGGAAGUGCUACGCGAGGUUUUUCCCGAACUGCACCGAGCCGCGGUGCAAAAAGUUCUGCGUCCAGCCGCUCCCCGGAGCAGUCUGCCUCGACAAAAAACCUGCUGCUGCCCUGUUGCUUAACUAUAAGUGCCGCUGA
rnacentral:rRNA from 1 species